rnacentral:rRNA from 1 species
GAUGAACGCUGGCGGCAUGCCUAAUACAUGCAAGUCGAGCGACAGCACGAUAAGCUUUUUCCCUUACUGUUAGCGACGGACGGGCGAGUAACGCAUACAUCACAUUCUUCUUAUUCUUGGGUAACUUCGGGAGACCGGAGACACUAACACCUCAUACUUUCUACCGCUUAAUUCAAAAGUGCUUCACGCCUUUGCCGACACUUUUAGCUGGUUCCGCGCUGCAUUAGCUAGUUGGUAAGGUCACGGCCUACCAAGGCGACGAUGCAUAGCCGACCUGAGAGGAUGAUCAGCCACACUGGAACUGAGACACGGUCCAGACUCCUACGGGAGGCAGCAGUGGGGAAUAUUGGGCAAUGGGCGAAAGCCUGACGGAGCAACGCCGCGUGAGUGAAGAAGGUCUUCGGGUCGUAAAGCUCUGUUAUUAGGGAAGAACAGAAGCGGAUUUAACUGCGCACGUCUUGACGGUACCUAAACAGAAAGCCACGGCUAACUACGUG